rnacentral:rRNA from 1 species
AGAGUUUGAUCCUGGCUCAGGAUGAACGCUAGCUACAGGCUUAACACAUGCAAGUCGAGGGGCAGCAUGUUGGUUGCUUGCAACCAACGAUGGCGACCGGCGCACGGGUGAGUAACGCGUAUCCAACCUACCCUUGUCCAUCGGAUAACCCGUCGAAAGGCGGCCUAACACGAUAUGCGGUUCACAGCAGGCAUCUAACGUGAACGAAAUGUGAAGGAGAAGGAUGGGGAUGCGUCUGAUUAGCGUUGUUGGCGGGGUAACGGCCACCAAGGCUACGAUCAGUAGGGGUUCUGGACGAGGAAGGUCCCCCACAUUGGAACUGAGACACGGUCCAAACUCCUACGGGAGGCA